AUAUAAAUUAAAAAAAAAACAUAAUGAGCACUAAUUUUUAAAAAUUGCAGCAUGAAGCGUACAUUACUAACCAGCACAGUGUGAUGUUCAGCGCGGCAAAGAAGCCAGAGGCCAGGUCAGGGCAAGGCAGGGAACCCUAUAGAAUAUAACACUGCCUGAAGAAUGAAGAUAGGGAAUGCUUGCUUCCUGGAAGGGAUGAUGCAACCAACUCUAGAGGAAUAGGGAAGUCAACCAACCCUUUACUCUCUUCACAGUCCACGGCAGGUUCAGUGUGUGGUCCCUUGGCUUCGUGAACUUGAGUAGAACAACAUGUGUAGACAAGUGGCAACGCUGUCCACCUCCAGAAAGACAGGAAGCAGAGAGAAAGAAAGGGCCAGGAACAAGACGCCUCUAAGACCCUGCCUCCAAUGACAUCUCCUCCAGAAGGAGGUGUAGGUGGCCUCUAGGAGUUGCAGGUAGGGAGUCCAGUGCUCUCAGUCCUGUGCCUGCAGGAGCAUCCAUUCUUCCAGGAACCUGAGAAAGUUUUGCAGUGGAUUUUUCUCCUGUCCAAAGCCCAGGAUGGAAUCAGAGCAGAGACGAGGGAGUCCCAGGACAGGCGUGAUGGUCUCGCCCAGCUUUUGAAGCAUGCUGCGAUCCAGAGAAGAUGAACACAACACCGCAGGUCUCCGCUUCAGAAUGAUUUCUUUUCGGCCAAUGAAAUCGUUUCGAAAUGGUAUAAAAGUUCUUGCCAUGUUUGAAUGAAAAUGUCUCCUGUAAUAAUCUCACACCCAACAUCCCCAAGCAAUAAUUUAGAAGACAAUUAGGAAAUAUCAAAGAUGGUAGAAAUAUCUGAGCAACAACUGGGCAGGUACAGUUAUGAACACACCCGAGUGCUUGGGUAAGGCACACAUAGGAUCAGCCUAUCAAGCAUGUUCGCCCCAACCCAUGCUAAGCCUAUUUGCUUUCUUUAUUAUUCAGAAUAUUAUUCUUUUCUCAGGUAUCCACAGAACACCUUUUCUUCAUUGCUUAAAUCUCUACCUAGAUACUCCCUAAAAGGUCAUUCUAUGUAAAAAUAUAAGACAACCCUACACAAAAGAGCACUUACCCACACUUUGUAUCUCUUAUCCUCCCUGGUUUUCUGUACAGCAUGUAUUACCAAGCACACUAUGUCUAGUUAGCUAGGGGUGUUUAGAUAUGAAUAAAACCUAGCUCUUUAUUGCACCCAUCUCUGCAAAGUCUCAGUCAACCUGAAGGUUCUAGCGUUCGCA